AAAUUGAAGAGUUUGAUCAUGGCUCAGAUUGAACGCUGGCGGCAGGCCUAACACAUGCAAGUCGAACGGUAACAGGAAUCAGCUUGCUGAUUUGCUGACGAGUGGCGGACGGGUGAGUAAUGUCUGGGAAACUGCCUGAUGGAGGGGGAUAACUACUGGAAACGGUAGCUAAUACCGCAUGACGUCGCAAGACCAAAGAGGGGGACCUUCGGGCCUCUUGCCAUCGGAUGUGCCCAGAUGGGAUUAGCUAGUAGGUGGGGUAAAGGCUCACCUAGGCGAC
rnacentral:rRNA from 1 species